AGCGAACGCUGGCGGUAGGCCUAACACAUGCAAGUCGAACGGCAGCACAGUAAGAGCUUGCUCUUACGGGUGGCGAGUGGCGGACGGGUGAGGAAUACAUCGGAAUCUACUUUUUCGUGGGGGAUAACGUAGGGAAACUUACGCUAAUACCGCAUACGACCUACGGGUGAAAGCAGGGGAUCUUCGGACCUUGCGCGAUUGAAUGAGCCGAUGUCGGAUUAGCUAGUUGGCGGGGUAAAGGCCCACCAAGGCGACGCUCCGUAGCUGGUCUGAGAGGAUGAUCAGCCACACUGGAACUGAGACACGGUCCAGACUCCUACGGGAGGCAGCAGUGGGGAAUAUUGGACAAUGGGCGCAAGCCUGAUCCAGCCAUACCGCGUGGGUGAAGAAGGCCUUCGGGUUGUAAAGCCCUUUUGUUGGGAAAGAAAAGCAGCAGGUUAAUACCCCGCUGUUCUGACGGUACCCAAAGAAUAAGCACCGGCUAACUUCGUG
rnacentral:rRNA from 1 species